GUAUGGUGCAAGCGUUAUCCGGAUUUACUGGGUGUAAAGGGAGCGUAGACGGAGUGGCAAGUCUGAUGUGAAAACCCGGGGCUCAACCCCGGGACUGCAUUGGAAACUGUCAAUCUAGAGUACCGGAGAGGUAAGCGGAAUUCCUAGUGUAGCGGUGAAAUGCGUAGAUAUUAGGAGGAACACCAGUGGCGAAGGCGGCUUACUGGACGGUAACUGACGUUGAGGCUCGAAAGCGUGGGGAGCAAACAGGAUUAGAUACCCUGGUAGUCCACGCCGUAAACGAUGACUACUAGGUGUCGGGCAGCAAAGCUGUUCGGUGCCGCAGCAAACGCAAUAAGUAGUCCACCUGGGGAGUACGUUCGCAAGAAUGAAACUCAAAGGAAUUGACGG
rnacentral:rRNA from 1 species